CGGCGCUUUGAUUGUCCACACUGA
rnacentral:miRNA from 1 species